CUAACUUCCCGUUAGGUGAGGCUCCUGUGCGAAUACAGGCCACUGCCCGGAAAUGUCGAGAGACACCAAUGGGUUAGCAGGUUUUGCCGGAUUAAGGUAAAAUCUAAUGUGGCUGGAACAAGAUUCCAAAGUCGCACAGUGCUAAAACCGAUGACGAGGGGAAAGUAUU
rnacentral:sRNA from 1 species